rnacentral:rRNA from 1 species
GAUGAACGCUGGCGGCGUGCCUAAUUCAUGCAAGUCGAGCGAACAGACGAGGAGCUUGCUCCUCUGACUUUAGCGGCGGACGGGUGAGUAACACGUGGGUAACCUACCUAUAAGACUGGGAUAACUUCGGGAAACCGGAGCUAAUACCGGAUAAUAUAUUGAACCGGAUGGUUCAAUAGUGAAAGACGGUUUUGCUGUCACUUAUAGAUGGAUCCGCGCCGCAUUAGCUAGUUGGUAAGGUAACGGCUUACCAAGGCAACGAUGCGUAGGCGACCUGAGAGGGUGAUCGCCCACACUGGAACUGAGACACGGACAAUGCUCCUACGGGAGGCAGCAGUAGGGAACCUUACGCAAUGGGCGAAAGCCUGACGGAGUGGCGCCGAGUGAGUGAUGAAGAUCACCGGAUCGUAAAGCUCUGUUAUUAGGGAAGAACAAAUGUCUAAGUAAAUAUGCACGUCUUGACGGUACCUAAACAGAAAGCCCCGGCUAACUACGUG